UAAAAAUAAAUCCUUCCUGGUUUUCAGGAGGUGGCGGGGUCCUUCAGCAGGAGAGAGAGCGAGACACACCCAAAAAGAGAGAUCGAUAGCGAAAAACCUUACCGCAGAGGAAGAAUCGUUUUUUGCUGCCUUUAAGUACCUGGGGCUGUGCCGAUAAUAAAAGGGGGUUAAGUAGUGGGGGUAGGGGGCGGAGGGGCAGAUGGGGCUGGUAACGCAGCUGGGCAGAUGCCAAAAAAAGCAGAACAAAACACGUUUUCGUUUUGUCUGCACCAGCCUGCGACAGAGAGCGAGCGAGAGAUGCACAGUGAAAAAGCUGCUGUGCUCGGAAACGGGCCUACAGCCACUUUGGAAGCCUCGGCAAUAAUUCUCUCCCUUCCUUGCCUUCACCCUGCCCACUCUGGCUCGACUGCCAAGUCGCAGAGUUGGCACGGCUUCCCAGGCAGCGCGGAACAAAGCCGUCACCCAUCCCUGAACAGGCGCUGACGGCAGGCUAAGUGACAGGCGCAUCUUCUGCAUGUUAAUCCAAGGGGUGAGGAGGAGAGAGCAAAAUCCACCGGCUCCCCUGCCACCCCGGCACCGGCCACUCCUUUCCAGCCCAAGCCCCGGUGGGCCCUGCGCACAGUUCGGAAGGCAGGAGCCCUGGAGAAAGAGAGCUGGCCGCGCCGGCAAGUCAAACAAACAAACAAGCACAGGAUUUAAAUACAAACCACCACCCGAGCCAGCAGCACCCUGGCAAACAAGGCCGCUCAGCAUCUGCUGUACCUGUUCCCGCUGCCUUCAUCUCGCCUUGGAACCGUGACAAGAGAGAAGCGUCGCCUCUGGUGGGCUCUCUCAGCCUCGGGUCUGCAACCCUGUGCAGGAAGUUGGCACCGAUCCCAGGCUGCUGUGAAGAGAGGCCGCGGAGCAAGCAUCACAUUUGCAAGGUCUUCACCAUCUCUUGUGGAAUCCUGCACCUGUACAAAACUCUCAUGGGACAUUUCCAUCUCCAGAGCGGCAGGGACAGACAAACACACUGCCCAGCACAUGUACAAACCUCAGUGAGCUUCACAUCUGGGAAGAUGCGACUGCCUUUGCUUCUCCUCCACAUCCCGGCUCCCCCUUCCCACACUGCAGAGCGGAUUCAUCGCCGCUUUCACAGACGACAAAAGUGACGAUUAAAAGGGCUGGCUCCUUAUAAUCAUCCAUUAAACCUUCUCAAAAUCCUAAACUCUUUGCCAUUUCAAAGCUGGUCUUUCUCAGGAGGAACAAUGGGACUGGGUAAGUCUAACAGGAACCACCUGGCUUGGUGUUACUUGUUUUGGGUAGUUUCCCUCCAACGCUACCAUGGGGACGUAUUUUGCCCCAAUUCCUAAGCUGGACUUGCCAACCCUGACAGAGAAACCAGCCACCCUCCCUUCAGGACACCUGAGCUGUUCCCCAGCUCCAACAGACACCACCAGGCUUAAGCAACAGAAUCCCAGGUUUCCAGUAGUAUUUCGUAUGAGCUUUAGGCCUGCUCUACACUACACCGUUAAGUCAACACAAGGAACCUUACGUUGACCAAGUUGUGGAUGUGUCAUUUAGAAGAUCAGUCUCUUCUAGAUGACUGACCCCUUGGGCGGGUGCUUAAGACAGAUCUUGUUAAGAACAUAAGAAUGGCCCUACUGAGUCCAUCUAGCCCAGUAUCCUGUCUUCCGACAGUGGUCAAUGCCAGGUGCUUCAGAGGAAAUGAACAGAACAGGGAAUCAAGUGACCCCUCCCGUUGGCCAUUCCCAGCUUCUGGCAAACAGAGGCUAGGGACACCAUCCCUGCCCAUCCUGGCUAAUAGCCCUGGAUGGACCUAUCCUCCAUGAAUUUAUUGAACUGUAUUAUAGUCUUAGCCUUCACAACGGCCUCUGGCAAGGAGUUCCACAGGUUGACUGUGUGUUGUGUGAAGAAACACUUCCUUUUGUUUCUCUUAAACCUGUGCCUAUUAAUUUAACUGGGUGACCCCUAGUUCUUGUGUUCUGAGGAGUAAAUAACACCUCCUUAUUUAUUUUCUCCACACUUGAAUGAUUUUACACUACCGUAUCCCCUCUUAGUCAUCCCUUUCCCAAGCUGAAAAGUCCCAGUCUUAUUUACUCUCCUCAUUGUGCUAUAUAAGCACAGCCCACUCUUGCAAGAUGCUGAGCACCUAGAACUCACAGCAGAGCCAAUGGGAAGUCAGGGUACUCAGAAGCUCAUAACCAGUGACUGCAACGUCAUGGGGGUUAGUACAUCCCCGGGUUUUCAAGGGAAUUCCAACGAGGUGGAAGGGUCUCAGCAAUGAGUCAACCAAGCUUCCUGGCAUAGAGGGGAUCAGAACCUAGGCUGCUGGCCUCAAACAGGAGGGACAACGGAGGAAUUAAGCUGUAAAUUAGCACUUCAGGCCUCUUCAAAGUCUCCUCCAACAGCCGUAGCCAUCCAAGGAAAGCCACAUACCCUUCUGAUCACAAGGAGCGCUUACGGCGUGGCCCCAUCUUGUCAACAUCCCACUGCCACCUGAGGGUACUCUCUUGGGGAGGCCUCUCCUCACUCUGCUGAUGGUAGCAGUACGAUUAUACCUGUACAUCCAAUGGCAUAAGCCCCAGCGAACCAGGGUUUUGCACACUUAUGUGUCGAGAGGGGAUUCAUCUCCUCUCAACUCGGUGACUUUGCUGUGCUGGACUACAAGCUCCUUGAGAUGGCGCCCACUUCACGCUUUGUUGCGCUUUGGGUCGGGAGCGAGGUGGCCCCAAGGGGAAGAUGAAUUAUAUGUGAUUUGGCAAGAUCGCCUUGAUAGGAUUCAGUGCCUGAAAAAAGCCCUGGGUCUGGAUGCUCAAAAAAAUGUCCUCUCUACUUCUCUCUCAUCCACCCAAGCUGUCUACCACUCCUGUCUAGGCCCUUCCAUCACUUUCCCCACUCCCUCCUCCUAGGUUCCAAGCACCUUCUAGUCUACCAGCUGCCCUUCCCCAUAGCCAGGGUGAGAUUCUGGCUCAGAUCCUCAAAGGUAUUUAGAUGCCUAAAUCCCAUUUUCAAUAGAAGUUAUGUGCCUAAACAACAUCAAGGAUCUAGGCCUCUGUCCCCAUCAGAUACUGAAUCGGAUACCCAUAUACAUACCCAGUUAUGCCCCAGGAUCCAGCCAUUCUGCCCAACUACAAAGGUAGCAGUGAGAUCCAGUUUCAUCACCACUUCCCAGCCCCUCCGCUGUGGAUUUUCUUUCCAACACAACAUGAGCACCCAAAAUGCUGCUGACUCAUACCUGCCUUUGCUUCCCCUUCAUAAACAGCACCUUACAAUGCCUCAGGGUGACCAGAUGUCCCGAUUUUUAUAGGGACAGUCCCGAUAUUUGGGACUUUUUCUUAUAUAGAUGCCUAUUACCCCCCACCCCCGUCCUGAUUUUUCACACUUGCUGUCUGGUCACCCUACAGUGCGCUCUCUGGGAGCUGCUGGAAUCGUAACAGGCAAGGCGAGCAGCUGAAAUUGUCCAUCCCAGCCUGGUCUAUCGAAUCAGGGGCUUCGCAGUGUCCCAGGCUCGCAGUGAGCUAGAACAGCUCACCUUAACACUAGGUCAAGCACAAACUGACCAGGAUCACUCACUGCUGCCUGAGCUCCACCCUCCUCCCCAAGGCACAGUGUCCUAAGUCACCGUUAGAGCAGAAGAGGAGCUCUCAGGGCUCCUCAUCCCUAACAAACCAUCUUGCCCAGCCAGGUGCUGUAACAGUGCUAGACACAGCCAAGCCCCCGCUGUUGUUCCAAAGCAGGAAGGAUGAAAGCCUGGUGACUCCACCUCCUCAAAAGCAGGAAUCAGCUGCUCUUUGCCUACAUGCAGCUUGUGUGGGAGGGGAGAAAGCAAACAUUCCUAUCCUCGUUAAGGGCAUACUCUGCAGGAACACGCCUGGGGCCUGCAGUAGGAAUGGCUCUGCAGCUAGCUGGGGACCCACGAGAACCCUCCGUGCAUGGGGUGUUGCAGCGUCUUCCUUUGUCCACGGGCACUUCGACACCACCGCACUGGGCCCACCAGAACCACUUCCAUUUCCUUUCACGCAGCCCAUGUGUGUGUGAGAGAAUCUUCUCGGACUCUCUUAGCAGAAAGGAGGCUGUGACAGGCCACAAGGGAGCAGGGCUGCGGGAAGGAAAAGGAAGUGAAGCCAGGCCAAUUGUGGUAGGGCUGGAAUGAAACACCAGCCAUUAUGCAUGGGGCUUUCAUAGCUUCCCUGCGCUUAAAUGAAAACCUCGGGCUGGUUUGACACCACCGCGGUGAAGAGGAAGCCACACUAACAGAAGCCCAGCUCAGAGAGGCUCAUCGGAGCUUCCUUGUAACUAGUGCAACAAAGCCAUGAUCACCUAGGACUUUAUGGCAGCCAUGCAGAGCGUCACAGGGAGAGAACUCAGCCUCCCACUGCAAAAGCCAGAGGCCCUUACCACUUAGGAAAAUCCCUGUUAGCAGUUCAAAGCCCAUGACACAUGGUUGGGCAGGGCUGACUCCAUCCAGCAGUGCCUAGACACCAGCCAGUGCGUUAUUCUUUCUUCUUGAGCAACCCUUUCAUGCUGAAUUUGCAAACCAAAACAAAUUUGAAGGGUAGUUAGCUACAAGGAUUCCGUUGCCAGAGGAAAAUUAGGCGCAACCCUGAUCCACCUUUUGCUUUUUCUUACCAUGUGUGUGAUCUCAGUCAUGAAGCCCUGUUUCUGGCCUCUCUCCUUCCUAGACACUUGAGAGCUGAUAAACCCAAUCUCUCUUCCCAGCUAAAGGCUUUUGAUAACAGCUGAGCAGCAACAGAGAGCGGGUGAGCCCCACCCUUCAGAUUCCAGGUAAAAGGUGAGAGAAGCGAGUCACUAUUCAAACACUGGCUGCUCAUUUGCCCACUAGGUGGGAGAGAACAAACUGACACAGAUUCUCAUAGGUACCUGUUCUCUGUACUGAUGUCUCUGGGGAAUUGGGCAUCUUUAUGUAACUAUACGUCACCUCCAAUCCCCACUUUGCAGCUGGCUCUGCCCUCUCCAGAAUGGACUGACACCUAAACUCUUCCAGUGUUUGGGAUCCCAAACCCAGAUCACCAGAGGUAUUUUAGACUCCUAAAUUUGAUUCAGGUGUAUCAGAUUCUUUUUGAUCAACCUGUACUCAGCCUAGUCAGUUUCCUAUGGGGCAAAGUUGGCCCAGAAUCAUAGAAAUGCAGGGGCUGGAAGGGACCUGGAGAGGUCAUCUAGUCCACCUCCCUGCACUGAAAGCAAGACCAUGUAUACCUAGACCACCCCCAUCAGUCGCUGAAAGGCUUAACAGAAGGAAUCUGAAUUUCCAGCAGUCACUCCCCUUUGGAAUAACACUGGUUAACCUUAAAUAAGGAACCUUUAGAUGACUGGAAAGCUGACAGACCUGGGGUUUAAUAAUAAAUGAAUGCACCACAUUAAAGAUAAUGAUGAAACUCCCAAAGCCCAAGAGGUUGUUCUUAGUUUUAUUUUAGAGUACAGUCAAAUCCUCUGGAACUAAUCUCACAGUUACAGAAUAUGGCCAUGCAUUUCUUGUUCCUCUUUAACAAACCAUAUCAAAGGGAUGAUGGGGGGAGGGGUAAAGGGAGGCUAGGCCUGAUCCCAUAACACUGGUGGGAAGUGAGGUUCUUGCUUGAAGUAGCUGUGAUUCCAAAGGCUGCAAAGCCUUUCAGUUACACAUCUCACUCAAAACAUACCCUGCGGUCAGGCCUUGGAAGUGUGAAACAAGCCCAUUUGUACCAGUGAAGCACCCCAGUAAUGACAGAUCAGGACCCUGAGGCCCUAGGUAUGGAAGAUGCUGGUUGUCCCAUUCACCAAAUGAAUCCCUGCAUAUUCCAGGAACCACGUCAAUCCAGACAGAGCUUUCUCUGGCCACCCUGGGGGCAGACUAUGCAGGAAAGCACCACAGGGCGGCCGUCUCUGUCUCUCACUUCAUUGUGCGUUAGGAAAAUUGCGACAAUCACUAAUGCAUUUGUUCCUGGACCUGGAAAGCUCUUCUGGGGCCUACUUAAGGAAGAUGAAAGCACGCAUGUUUGGAAUGGAUGUAAAGGACUGCUUCGCAGUACGAGCAAGACAGGGAUUAAAAUGGAGGGGAAAGCUGCCUGGCCUUAGUAGCAGCACAGAAUGCAGAUAAAACCUCUGUCUCAGAAGCUGUAGAUAAAUCCCACUCCGCGACCAGGUAAGCUCUGCUACAUGAGGCCCCAAAACACCAACACAUGCGCCUUAGUGUCUCUGAAGUGCACAGAGACUCAAUGAAAUUCACUGUCCGAUAUUCUCUUCACUCUUCCUGCUUUAAGUUUGUUCCAUUACUCUAGUCAGCGGCUAAUAAACAGACUUAAUGUUCACAUUUAAAGUUAAGCCGAUUCAUUUUGUAGCAACCUUACCUAUUAGCAAAUUGAACUAAUAUAAAAAAAAAUGCUGUUCAUUGGCACUUUGGAAGUAAGAUGGCACAUUUCUGGUCUAGCUGUAUCAAGUAUCGGUGCUUCGAUCUGCCAGAGGCAGCAAUUGAAGCUGUUGUCUGAGUUUGGUCCUGGUUGGCUUUGAGUCACCACUGUGACUCUCUGUGGCCAGUACAGGAAUAGACACAUGCCAGCUCAGACUAAUGGUCCAUCUAAUCCCAUAUCCUAUCUCACACAGCAGCCAGGGAAUAUUCUUUUUGUGCACACUUACGUGUCAAGUUUAGUUGGGAGUUUAGCAGUGAGUCCCAUAGAUUAUAUUCUUAAAUCCCUGUUGCAGCAGGUUCACAAUUAGAGUCAGGCCUUUCUUCUCACACCCCUAGCCAUGCACUAGCUGCAUAAUCCUCCCCAAAGUGCUCUGCUCAUUCUAGUUCAAGCCCCAACACUUCCCCUGAGAGACACUUCCAGUUUUAUUAAUCUCACUGUGACUUCUUGUUCUUGUCUCAGUCUCAGUUUCCUUUUAAUUUAAUAAGAUUAUUUCCCAUAACACCCCCUUGGAAAGCAUCUUGUUCCUUGGUGUUCAUAUACCCUUCAAGAGCUUGAAUGUGGGAGACAUGGGGUAUUCAAAGCCAGGAUGGAGCUGCUUGGCAGGUUUCUGGCUGAUGAAAUGUCCUCCAGAGCGAAGGAUAUAUUACUGGUUAUCUGGAGGUGGUACUUUACCAGGAAUGGGACUUAACAUCCUCAUCCCAGCCUGGUCUCUGCCUCCUUUAACCCUUUCUGGCUCUGACGACUCACAUUCAUGUCAAGAUGGAAGGUGCUUCAGUAGACCAAGAACUUACAAAGAGGAUGUUCACUAAGGCGAAGGCUGGAGACGAGAGCGCUAAGAAGCUUAGGCUCGCUUAUUGCAUCACUAUGCGGCACAAAAAGGGAUGGCCAGGGUUUGGCGUGAUCCGGUCAGCAGGGCAAAUUCAGACGUUGCUGCUUUCCAGUUAACAUCUCCCAAGUAUGUGCUGCCUAAAGCCGCUUCUUGUCCCUGCACCUGGAUCCCUGAUAGUCUCUCUGGGCUGGGCUGUUUAAACACCUGGGUAUUAUCCACUUUUAAACAAACAGACUGUCCCUUCUGACUCAAGAACUGCAAGCUGAGCCAAAGAGCCAACACCCUUCUGCUCUGACUGGUACGUCAUGGUCAAACCAAC